ensembl:lncRNA
AUGGUGAGCCCGCCUCUUCCUGCCCCUCCUUUGCUGCCUGCCUUGGCGGUCCCUCCCAGACCCCCUUAUGCUCUUGGUUUCCCACCUUCUGAUUUCUCCGGACCCUCUAAGACAUGUCACACCUCUGCGGGGGUGGGGGUGGAGGUGGGUGUGGGCACGGGCGUGGCAACAGACCACCUUUCCCUCCAGGUGGAGCUGGUGUUUCCGCUUGUGGGUGACCGUAACCAGGGGCAUGGCGGAUUGCGGGCAGCUGCCCAGAACCCUGCUGAUGAGUCCGCACCAGGGACCCCAGGCCCUCAGGAGCUUGGAGCUGCCGACAAGCAGGGUGAUCUUUACAGCAAGCCCUGCAUGCCGUUCUUCUACCGAGGAGACCACAAGAAGGCAAAGAUCAUAAACAUCAAAAAGCCGGCAGCAAGGCCUGGAGAAGAGUAAGCUGCCAUGUGACUGUUUAGAAUAUAGUCUGAGCACAAACCUGAAAAAAAAAAAAAGUAUUUAUUUUAAAUUGUGGCAAAAUACUGGCCAGGCACAGGGGCUCACGCCUGUAAUCCCAGCAAUUUGGGAGGCGGAGGCGAAUGGAUCACCUGAAGGUCAGGGGUUCAAGACCAGCCUGGCCAAUACAAAAAUUAGCCAGGUGUGGUGGCGCAUGCCUGUAAUCCCAGCUACUUGGGAGGCUGAGGCAGGAGAAUCGCUUGAACCUGGGAGGCAGAGGUUGCAAUGAGCUGAGAUCGUGCCACUGCACUCAAACCUGGGUGACAGAGCGAGACUCCGUUUCCAAAAAAAAAAAAAAAAAAAAAAAAGUUUCCUCCUUACAUGUAUGUUUCUAUUGGUUUUUUUCUUGGUCUUUCUCAUUUAGUCCUAUCUUGUCUUAUGGCAUUCCCUAGUAAACUUUACCUGCCUCCAGAGAGUUUUGACUUUGACUUUAUGGCACACAAUUGGAGCAAGGGCAGAUCACCUUCAUCUAGUUGGGACUAAGCUGGUUCAAGGUUUUAGUUUUUGUGAUGGGUGGUCUAUUUGUAUUCACUUGGACUCCUAGGGGUGGCCCUUCCAGGGUCCCAUCUCCUUACUGGGACCCAAAUUCUCAUUAGGUCAUUUCAGCCUGUGAGAGUGCCAAACAUUCAGCUAGGCUUUCCAGCCUGUUAACUACAACUUCAUACUCACUUUCUUAGCCUCUUAGUCCUCUACUGUUUACCAAUCACCAAAUGUGGGAAAGCACUACAGACUCAGGGUCACCUCUAGGACUGGUCACGCAAGUCCUGGCUAAGGUCUCCAAUUACCUUCAACAAUUGUUUUUGCUGGGGCACAUUUUUGUCCAGUUUUUCUAACUGCUCUUGUGGGGGAGGCUAAUCUGUAAAAAGCUGCUCUGCCUUUAGUGAAAGUUGAAACCUCCAUCUGUGUUUUUUUUUUUUUUUUUUUUUGAUGGAUUCUCGCUCUGUCACCCAGGCUGUAGUGCAGUGGCAUGAUCUCUGCUCACUGAAACCUCCGCCUCCUAGGUUCAAGCAAUUCUCCUGCCUCAGCCUCCUGAGUAGCUGAGAUUACAGGCGUGUGCCACCAUACCUGGCUAAUUUUUAUAUUUUUAAUAGAGACAGGAUUUCACCAUGUUUUCCAGGCUGGUCUCGAG